UACAGAGGUCCCGAGCGUUGUCCGGAAUCAUUGGGCGUAAAGAGCGUGUAGGCGGUCCGGUAAGUCCGCUGUGAAAGUCCAGGGCUCAACCCUGGAAUGCCGGUGGAUACUGUCGAGCUAGAGUCCGGAAGAGGCGAGUGGAAUUCCUGGUGUAGCGGUGAAAUGCGCAGAUAUCAGGAGGAACACCAAUGGCGAAGGCAGCUCGCUGGGACGGUACUGACGCUGAGACGCGAAAGCGUGGGGAGCAAACAGG
rnacentral:rRNA from 1 species